UCAACUGUGUUUUUUUCUGAAAGCCUCAGUAGAUGGCAGCCUCUCUUCAAUCCCAAUUGGCUUUGGAAGCUAAGCAGGAUUAGACCUGGUUAUAAGAUGGAUGGGAGACCAGUAGGAAAUCCCAGGACUGUAGAUGAC
rnacentral:rRNA from 1 species